CUGCAAGUCGAACGCUUCUUUCCUCCCGAGUGCUUGCACUCAAUUGGAAAGAGGAGUGGCGGACGGGUGAGUAACACGUGGGUAACCUACCCAUCAGAGGGGGAUAACACUUGGAAACAGGUGCUAAUACCGCAUAACAGUUUAUGCCGCAUGGCAUAAGAGUGAAAGGCGCUUUCGGGUGUCGCUGAUGGAUGGACCCGCGGUGCAUUAGCUAGUUGGUGAGGUAACGGCUCACCAAGGCCACGAUGCAUAGCCGACCUGAGAGGGUGAUCGGCCACACUGGGACUGAGACACGGCCCAGACUCCUACGGGAGGCAGCAGUAGGGAAUCUUCGGCAAUGGACGAAAGUCUGACCGAGCAACGCCGCGUGAGUGAAGAAGGUUUUCGGAUCGUAAAACUCUGUUGUUAGAGAAGAACAAGGACGUUAGUAACUGAACGUCCCCUGACGGUAUCUAACCAGAAAGCCACGGCUAACUACGUGCCA
rnacentral:rRNA from 1 species